AUCAAGUCCAUGGGGGAACUUCCGCGCCAUUAGCGGACCUGUGGGUGUCUCCAUGGGGUGUGGUCCCCUAGAAAUGGGCGGGCAAAUUCUGUCCAAUACAAAACUUAUCGCACCCAAAAGGGGCAUUGGUAAAUGAGGACAUCGCCGCGGAACUGUUCUGUAUCGUUGGCAUCAUUCGGCCUUGCCGUCGAGUUGGUUUGGGGGAACAGGACGCGUCCGAUUAUUGGCGACCCUUCCAUCUUUUGGGUUGCAUGUUUGCAG